rnacentral:piRNA from 2 species
UCCAAGUCUCUGUCCACAGGUUUGAGUGC